rnacentral:rRNA from 1 species
AGCGAACGCUGGCGGCAGGCUUAACACAUGCAAGUCGAACGGUCCUUCGGGAUAGUGGCGGACGGGUGAGUAACACGUGGGAACGUACCCUUAGGUUCGGAACAACACAGGGAAACUUGUGCUAAUACCGGAUAAGCCCUUCGGGGGAAAGAUUUAUCGCCUUUGGAGCGGCCCGCGUCUGAUUAGUUUGUUGGUGAGGUAAUGGCCCACCAAGGCUACGAUCAGUAGCGGGUCUCUGAGGAUGGCCAGCCACACUGGGACUGAAGCACGGCCCAGCGUCCUACGGGAGGCAGCAGUUGGGAAUCUUGCGCAAUGGGCGAAAGCCUGACGCAGCCAUGCCGCGUGGAUGAUGAAGGUCUUAGGAUUGUAAAAUCCUUUCACCGGGGACGAUAAUGACGGUACCCGGAGAAGAAGCCCCGGCUAACUUCGUGCCAGCAGCCGCAGUAA